UAUGACAAUGAUAUGGCCGUGACAGGACUCAGCACCGCGGACAGCUCCGACGUGUGGCCCCGCCUCUUCUACCGGGUGAGUGUUGCGCACAAGCGACCAAUAUCUGCCGCUGCCUCUGUUUAGCACUAGGUACAACAGAGGGAGCUUCCAAGAGCCUUCGACCCCGAGAGGAGAGGGAACCUCGCUCCGGAUGUGAUGCGUAACGGUGCUCUGCGUGCUGAACAACACUUUGAUGGCAUAAAACCUCCCGGUCUCAUUUGACCACACGUUGUGUGUGCGCGCGCGCAGCCCGUGUGUGUGUGUUCCGCAAGGACUAUGCUUUUGUAGCGCGAGCGCGAGUGACAGUAUCGCUCGCGUUUUUGCCUCUCAGAUAUCUGGCGGUGCCCUAACUGGGAGCCCUUUGGACGUUGAACAAGUUUUGUUUUUUAUUUGAGUCGUUUUUCCAUUUGAGUUGUUUACUUGGAGCACAAAGCCCAGGACCAAAUGGGGAGCGAAAAGUACUUGCCGGAACUCAUGGCUGAGAAGGACACGUUGGAUCCGUCUUUUCAGCACUCCCUGCGGCUACUGGAACAAGAAAUUGAAAAAUUUCAGAGAGACGAGGGGAAGGAAGAGGAGAAGUUCAUUGACGUCGUGAUCAACAAGAACAUGAAACUGGGCCAGAAAGUUUUAAUACCAGUCAAGCAGUUUCCUAAAUUUAACUUUGUUGGCAAACUCCUCGGGCCACGCGGGAACUCGUUAAAGAGACUGCAGGAGGACACUCUCACAAAGAUGUCAAUUCUCGGAAAAGGAUCCAUGAGAGACAAAGAAAAGGAAGAAGAGUUACGGCAGAGCGGCGAGGCCAAAUAUCACCACCUGAAUGAAGACCUGCAUGUCCUCAUAGAGGUGUUUGCUCCACCGGCUGAGGCCUAUGCGAGGAUGGGUCAUGCUCUGGAGGAGAUCAAGAAGUUUCUCAUACCAGAUUACAAUGAUGAGAUCAGACAGGCCCAGCUGCAGGAGCUCACGUACCUGAACGGAGGCUCGGAGGAUGCCAAGGUGCCAUCAGUGAGGGGCAAGUCAACCGCCCGUGGAAGAGGGACACCUGUUCCAGGGCCUCCCAGGACUCGAGGAGGAGUUCCUCCCCUGCAUGCUGCGGUGCCACGGGGUGCAGCACCCAGAGGAGCACCGCCCAGCCGCGCUCCAUCCUCCAGAGGGAGAGGGGUGCAGAGACCCAGAGGCGCCCCUCCAGUAGCUGGGUACCGACCGGCUCCUCCCAUAGUCCAGGACACAUAUGGCGAAUAUGAAUAUGACGACGGCUAUGGAACAGCUUAUGAUGACCAAGGAUAUGAAUCAUAUGACAACAACUACAGUAAUCAAGGACAAAACUCAGAUGACUACUAUGAAUAUGGACACAGUGGCGAAUCAUAUGAUUCGUAUGGUCAGGAGGAGUGGGCAAACAAUCGCAGCAAGGCACCGUCAGCACGAACAACCAAGGGAGUGUACAGAGAUCAGCCAUACUCCAGAUAUUGAACUGUUUACACAACCUGCACCUGAGUCCUCAUGGCUGUUUCAACCCAAGUCAAUGUCCCGGCUUUACCAGGGCAUCCAUCCAAUUAUCUCACUGGUGCUAAAGACUGGAUGAACCACACAUGAGUUUCCCUCUAAACAUUCAAGCCCACACAAUGUCAAAUCAAAUCCCUUAAAGGCUGCCCAGUUUCUCAAAGGCUCUGCCCUUGGUCAAAUGGUGGACUUGAAAAUGUUCACAUCCUGGACUGGGGUGGAUCCUGCGGGUGAUGGAAUUAAGUGACCUGUUAAGGUGCAGGAAAAGGGGAAAAACAAGAUAAUGCACCUACCACACACAUUGUCAUUCUCUGAAGAAAGAGAGGGAGAGAGGAAUCCUGUGAGGCAAAUGCUGUUCCUACUCCUCUGGGAUGACCCGUGAGCGAAUUUUUCUUUCAGAACUUCCCAGCUUUGUAUAGAUUUUACAUAUUCACAGGAGUGCUCUAAACUGACUGUGAACCGGCUCUCUGUCUUUCUUGAUUUAGACUCUCAUUAAAGGGGAUGCAUCUACCUCCUACAUUAGAUAUUAACUGUUGUCUACCAGGGAAGAUUAGUAAAAAAAAAAAUCAUGCAAUAUGGUACGGGAAUGACAUUAUAUUUCUGACAAAGACACUUCUAAUCUCAUAUUGCUGUAUUCAUUAACCUAUAUCCAGUCCUCUCCGGUGAAUAAAUAAUUCACCAAGUGCCUUUCGCUUACAUUGUUAUGACAGGUUUAGAUGCUAGAGUUAAAAUAUGGAGCAGUACACUAGUAAAGGUAGUUUUUUUUUUUCUUUUAUACUGGUUUUUGGUUUUCUGUAUGUUUUAGCACAAUCUUGGAAAACACCACACACAAAAGUACACUCUGUUCCAGAUGUAUUGCUUAAUCGCAGUCGACUUCAGUGGAUCUUACAAUUCCAAAAUAGCUUCCUAUCGGUUAGAGAGUUUUAUUCAGUCUUGUGCAUAAGUCCAGAUAGGCUGAUCUGUAUUCUGCACAGUUGUGUGUCCUCAGUGGCAGACAAUAGUUUUCCAUUAGAGGAAGUGAUUCGCUCUGGAGCCAUGGGCCAAGCCUCAGACAAUAACACGGCGACCUAAAGCUUGCAUCUCGGGCUCCCAGACUCUACUCUCAUCACCUCCUGGGGCUGAUUCCCUCUCUGAAGUGGCUAGAAAUGAUGGGCUUAUCUGAAGUAAGCUUGAAGUAAGUUAAUAAAGCAAGAGCAGCCCAUUUGAUUAAGAAUGCAUACAAAGGAGGAUGUACUGAUCUGUCACUGGGAGACAAGUUCAUUUAAACUCUAGAACACAGAUUAGUGGGUUGUGAGCUUGUCUUAUAAGUCUCCAGAGGAUCCAGAACAAAAUUAGAAAUAGCUUAAGGGUUCAUAAAACCUAUUUUUGCCAGCAGCUUCUCAAUAUCACAGGUGAUGCCUUAUAAGAAUACAUUAUGACCUGCCAGAGUCUGAACUGGAUUUGGUAUUUCACAUGAGAAAUGUCUGUAUUUGUUCUAAGUGUAUGAGGUUCAGUUGUAAAAAGAUGUUAUCAUGUACAGUAUCAGAGUUUAGCAAUAUUUAAAUCAACAUGUCAUGCAUUUUGGGAUUGUUUUGCUUGUCUUGCCUCCACUGUUAAUCAAAUCUUAUUACACACAUAUAGUACCAAACCACUCUCACAAUAACACCUCGGAAAUUGUGACAUUCCAGUGUUUUUCUGGAUUCAAAACUGUGUGACAUGGGAAUAUCUCUCUGCCAACGAAAAUGAAAGACAAUGGCUGACAUUCCUUAUACGGUACAUGGUUAAAAACAGGGUAAAGUGGAAAUAAAUAUGUUUUAAGUUUGUAACACCACAGGAAAAUAUGUUAUUAACCACCCAAACAAGUUUGAAUGAUUAAAAAUGGUUACCAAUUAUAUGAAAUCAGCUUUCAAAAUCAUGAAAAAAUAAAACAUUGAAACUACCCAAUCGUGGAAAUGUGUCAGCUUUUCCCAUCAUAGAUGUACAAUAUUAAGGGAGAACAUGCAUUUGUGGGGCGAAGGAACAUCUAGCUAGCAAGCUGUAGGCUGUACUAAGUGUAGUAGCUCAUGAUCAAACUGGUGCUAAUGUGCUAGGGAUCUACAGGAACAUUUUAUCAAACACUGCUGAAUGAGAGUAGAAAUAUGGUUUUGGUGUUUACGGAGCUUUUUCUCCUUCGUGUUGGUGUUUGAAUAAGAGUGGGUGAUGUUCAGCCCCUACACACGCAAACGCAGCGGGUGGCUGCUGUUGCAGCAGUAGAGAUGGAGCCGUUUCUUCAUUAAUGCUCAUGCAAUAAAACCUUUGCUAGUUAAAAGCCAGUAGGAGUAAUUUAACAAAACACCUGGUAAACAAGUAUAAACUUACAGAGAAGCAAAAACUUAAGUUUUGUCUACAGUCUGCAAGCUUGUUAGGCUACCAGCAGUGCAGCAGCUUCGUGGUCCACUGUGUGGCCAUUAGCUCCCUCAUGUCUCUAUCCCUCCAGCAACUACGAUCAGUUCAGACCUGCUCCAACUCACUCGCCCUUGAUGUGUUCCUACUUUUGUCAUUGUUUAAUGCUAAGGCGGCAGCAUUAAUGUUUUUUUAACAUAACAGUGGCCAGAACCUUUCUUCUGUGCUCAGUCUCAUGAGUGCUCCUAAAAACAAAUGUAGACAUAGAGCUCUGUGUACUCUAGGAUUUAUAGCAUUACAGUUUCGGAGGAGAGGGGUUAUGCUAAGGGUGGCUCCAGUGCAUCAUUGAGCCGUGCUUUCUGCCCCACCAUAAAAACCUGAACUAAAAAUUAAUGAAGUGGUCUAAUGCCACAGUUCAACACUACGUAGUUCUCAGUCUUUUAACAUGUUUUCAGCAACUAUUUUCUAACACUGAUAAUGUGUUUAGAAACAAACACCGAUUUUGCUUUACCCUGACUGUAAAUUUAGGCACGGCAACAAAAUGGUUAGGGUUAGGGAAGACCCUGGGUCAAGUCAGACUCUCAAAUGAAAAAGAUGACGUACUAACUACGUCAGGACUCAAGCUGCAUUGUCAUUUGUGCUCAGGCACAGUACCAGGCAACCAUGCCUAUGACUACACUCUAAAACGAAGUCUGCUAAACUAUGCUAACCAACUGCUGGGCCCAGCUACUGUACAUAUUUACCAAACAGAUAUGAGAAUUAUUUACAUUUCCACACAUAACUCUUGGCUAGAAAACGAAUAAAGUGUCUUUCCCAAAAUGUCUUUCCUUAAAUAUCUAGGGAUUUUAUUUUAACUUUUAUUCAUGUUUAGUUUUUUUUUAAAGUAUGUAGUCAUGAACACAAUAAUACUUAGAAUACAUAGAAAGAAUUAAGUUUUGAAGCAAAGCUAAAAUGUCACUAUGUGUAUAACAUUUUUGCCUUCGUAAAACUUAGUUACGUACAGUGUGGUUGAUUAUAUCUGUCAAAAAUUACUAUUCAGUAGUGAUUAGUUGUGUGUGUUUUUUCUUUUUGGGUCUUUUUUUAAGCAAUGGGUUUUGAUAUGUGAUGUGUGCUUAUCCAAUUAUUAUCCUAUUAAUCAUGUUCACAAUCUAAAUUGGCUGGCUUCUGCCAUUUGAUCUGUAAGUAACUAGGGGGCUCUUCAUUGUACUGAGAUUAAAACACCCUGAUCAAUGUCAAA